AGCGAACGCUGGCGGCAGGCCUAAAACAUGCAAGUCGAACGCCCUAGCAAUAGGGAGUGGCAGACGGGUGAGUAACACGUGGGAACGUGCCUUUUGGUUCGGAACAACACAGGGAAACUUGUGCUAAUACCGGAUAAGCCCUUACGGGGAAAGAUUUAUCGCCAAAAGAUCGGCCCGCGUCUGAUUAGCUAGUUGGUGGGGUAACGGCCCACCAAGGCUACGAUCAGUAGCUGGUCUGAGAGGAUGAUCAGCCACACUGGGACUGAGACACGGCCCAGACUCCUACGGGAGGCAGCAGUUAGGAAUCUUGGACAAUGGGCGCAAGCCUGAUCCGGCCAUGCCGCGUGAGUGAUGAAGGCCUUAGGGUUGUAAAGCUCUUUCAGCGGGGAAGAUAAUGACGGUACCCGCAGAAGAAGCCCCGGCUAACUUCGUGCCAGCAGCCGCCGUAA
rnacentral:rRNA from 1 species